rnacentral:rRNA from 1 species
UACGAAGGGGGCUAGCGUUGCUCGGAAUUACUGGGCGUAAAGGGCGCGUAGGCGGACUGUUUAGUCAGAGGUGAAAGCCCAGGGCUCAACCUUGGAAUUGCCUUUGAUACUGGCAGUCUUGAGUACGGGAGAGGUGUGUGGAACUCCGAGUGUAGAGGUGAAAUUCGUAGAUAUCGGGAGGAACACCUGUGGCGAAAGCGGCGCACUGGACCAUAACUGACGCUGAUGCGCGAAAGCUAGGGGAGCAAACAGG